UUUGAGUUAGCAUGUCCAAUUACAAAAACAACAGUGCAAAAAGUCUCCGAAUGCCCUCGAAAUGAAGAGGAAUGGACAGCAGCUCCUAUACAAAAAAAAUGCAAAGCAUUUGCCAGUCAGUGUGCAAAUCCCGAAAGACUUGUGUAUCAUUGUGUAAUUGGUCCAAAUCACAAUGAACUCCUUGAAGUUUGUGCCUAUGGAAAGAUUAUUCACAAGGGCUAUUGUACAGAAUAUAGCCUCAUAGGAAACCUUAUUCAACAAAGUGUAGGUACAAACUGCUCAAAUGACACUCAUCCGUGCCCAGAUAGUUACAAUUCGACUGUGGCAUACAAAUACCAAUCAUGUUAUGAAUUAACAAAAAAAAUCAACACCUGGAGACGAAUUACCAAAAGCUACCACCACUCCCAUUCAUACAUCAACCUUAAAUAAGUCCUCCAAGAAGCAAUCAGGAAUCACUCUAGUCUUACAUGCUGUUGUAUGUAUUGUAUUUUCCAUUCUCUGAUGGAUGUUUUGCUUAUAAUCGUACCAGGCAUUUAAUGCCCAGGAAAUGUGUUCAAAGACAUUGACGUACUGAUGGUUGUUUACAUG